rnacentral:rRNA from 1 species
GAAUGCUGACAUAAGUAACGAUAAAGCGGGUGAAAAGCCCGCUCGCCGGAAGACCAAGGGUUCCUGUCCAACGUUAAUCGGGGCAGGGUGAGUCGACCCCUAAGGCGAGGCCGAAAGGCGUAGUCGAUGGGAAACGGGUUAAUAUUCCCGUACUUGGUGUUACUGCGAAGGGGGGACGGAGAAGGCUAUGUUGGCCGGGCGACGGUUGUCCCGGUUUAAGCGUGUAGGUGUGUGUUCCAGGUAAAUCCGGUUCACUUUAACACUGAGGCGUGAUGACGAGGCACUACGGUGCUGAAGCAACAAAUGCCCUGCUUCCAGGAAAAGCCUCUAAGCAUCAGGUAACAUCAAAUCGUACCCCAAACCGACACAGGUGGUCAGGUAGAGAAUACCAAGGCGCUUGAGAGAACUCGGGUGAAGGAACUAGGCAAAAUGGUGCCGUAACUUCGGGAGAAGGCACGCUGACAUGUAGGUGAAGUGAUUUACUCAUGGAGCUGAAGUCAGUCGAAGAUACCAGCUGGCUGCAACUGUUUAUUAAAAACACAGCACUGUGCAAACACGAAAGUGGACGUAUACGGUGUGACGCCUGCCCGGUGCCGGAAGGUUAAUUGAUGGGGUCAGCGCAAGCGAAGCUCCUGA